AAUCAACGCUGGCGGCGUGCCUAACACAUGCAAGUCGAACGGGAAAGCACUUUUCGGAGUGCGAGUAGAGUGGCGAACGGGUGAGUAACGCGUGGGUGAUCUACCCUUUGGUGGGGGAUAACCCGGGGAAACCCGGGCUAAUACCGCAUGAGCCUGCAUUUGUAAGCGAGUGCAGGGAAAAUUUUUGGAUGCCGAAGGAGGAGCCCGCGUCCGAUUAGCUAGUUGGUGAGGUAAGAGCUCACCAAGGCGACGAUCGGUAGCCGGUCUGAGAGGACGGACGGUCACACUGGGACUGAGACACGGCCCAGACUCCUACGGGAGGCAGCAGUGGGGAAUUUUGGGCAAUGGGCGAAAGCCUGACCCAGCAACGCCGCGUGGAGGAUGAAGGUUUUCGGAUCGUAAACUCCUGUCUAGAGGGACGAAGCAAGUGACGGUACCUCUGGAGGAAGCCCCGGCUAACUCCG
rnacentral:rRNA from 1 species